GGAAAAUGUUUUUUGGGCGAUGGAAUACUUGUGUCCACCAAAUUUGUUAAUAAUGGUAGCAACGGAAGGUUUUUUGUCAUGAGUGAGAUAGAUUGGUGCACAAUGAAUAUUGAUGAUAUUGUGGAUUGCAACAUGAUUCUGAUACCACCUUUUGCUGUGUGGCCAGUAUAUUUUGAGCUAAAAAAUGGUGAAUGUGUUGAAUUUCAAAUUUAUUUUUCUCCAGAGUCAUAUGGCAUGCAGGUAAUUUCAGCUCUUUACAAGGUGUGUUCUGAAGGUUAAAGAAUUUGCUAUAAUUAUGGAAGUUCUCAACUGUUCUCAUCAGUCUUUUGAGAUUAUUAUAGUCAGCAAUUUUUAUAGGUGGAUAAAUUGUACAUAAUUUGCGACAACCAUG
rnacentral:misc_RNA from 1 species